CGGGCUAUAGCGCAGCCUGGUAGCGCGUUCGUCUGGGGGACGAGAGGCCGCAGGUUCGAAUCCUGCUAGCCCGACCA
rnacentral:tRNA from 2 species